rnacentral:rRNA from 1 species
UAGUCCACGCCGUAAACGAUGGUCACUAGCUGUUCGAACUUCGGUUUGAGUGGCUAAGCGAAAGUGAUAAGUGACCCACCUGGGGAGUACGUUCGCAAGAAUGAAACUCAAAGGAAUUGACGGGGGCCCGCACAAGCGGUGGAGCAUGUGGUUUAAUUCGAUGAUACGCGAGGAACCUUACCAGGGCUUAAAUGUAGAUUGCAUUAGCUAGAGAUAGCUAUUUCUUCGGACUAUCUACAAGGUGCUGCAUGGUUGUCGUCAGCUCGUGCCGUGAGGUGUCAGGUUAAGUCCUAUAACGAGCGCAACCCCUGUUGUUAGUUGCCAGCGAGUCAUGUCGGGGACUCUAACGAGACUGCCGGUGCAAACCGUGAGGAAGGUGGGGAUGACGUCAAAUCAUCACGGGCCCUUACGUCCUGGGGCCACACACGUGCUACAAUGGCAGGGUACAGAGAGCAGCCACGACGCAAGUCGGGAGCGAAUCUACAAAACCUGUCACAGUUCGGGA